UUGCCGACGAUAGACGCUUACACACUUGUCACAUACAGAUUGUGAUUGUCAUUUUUUUUUCUAAAUGCAAAGAAGAAGAAUUUAUCCAUCCAUCCACGAUGACAUUGUAAAUCAGAUUUUUAUGAAAACAGAGCUUUGAUUUUAGGGCCGUAUUGACCAGUCCUACUCUAUUGAAGAUGUGUUAAGACUCACCAUUGUCCUUUUUCAGGCGCUUGGAGAUCUCGAAGAAGAUCCUGGUGUAGCAUGUGAUCAUGAUGGCCAGGGGCAGCAAGAACAGGCAGAAGAAGGCUAUGAAUCAAGCUGUGCCACACUUCAGCCCAAAUCAGAUGGGAUAGUGGACCGGUGACCAGUCCAGCGUAUUUCACCCAGCCUGCCUUUCACCCAAUAUCAGCUGGGAAUGUGGUAUAGUCUCCAGCUCACCUGCACCCCUAAUGUGAACAAGCCCUGUUGAAAAUGGAUGGAUUGCUGGAUAGGUGCAUCUUAGACGCAAGCCACGGUAUGAGAAACCUUGAUCGCAAUUCAGGGGGCCGUGUCGGCCUUCUGCGGAGUGCCGGUCUCAUUUGAUUUUAGGUGAGCUGACCUGAGGGAUUGACAGCAAAACACUCAUGGUCCACGCCACCGCCAGCAUGAACCCGUUCCUCUUCCGGGCCUCGUUGAUGGCCAGCGGAUGGAGAAUGGCCGACUGGCGGUCCAGACUGAUCACCACGGUGACGAAGGCGCCUGAGUACAUAGCCAGGAGCUUGAGGAACAUCAGGAGGCGGCAGGUGAAGUCGCCAGCCAGCCACUGCACCGUGAUGUUCCACGCCGCAUCCACGGGCAUCACCACGAACGUCACCAGGAGGUCGGCCAGUGUCAGGUUGAUGAUCAGUACGCGGACAUGUGAUUUGCGCUUGCUGUCCGCGUAGGCCGCACGAAGCACGGCAAGGUUGCAGAACGCCGACGCGCCGCACAAGAUGAAGGUGACAAUCACCCGGACUUUGGCGGCGGUGCUGAAUGUGGGCAACUCCAGGCACGGCGACGACACAUUGCAGCUGGCGUUGGCGGGCUGGAGCUCGGCAGAUACCUGGUACAUACUAGCAUCCAUUUUCCUGAGGAGGAUGCAUUUUGCUCAACCAGAAGAAAGAACGAUGGGUGAGUCACAGCCUGCGCGCUACAUGCAAAUACUUUUACGGGGGGACAACUAACAACUCGAGUCAUAUGGAUGAGUGAUUCCCAACCACCGUGCAGUGUUGCUACCGAUACCAUAAAAGUAAUUUACUGAUAACUUGACUUUAAAAGAAACUUGGUUACGUUUCUUAUUUCUUGAUUUUAAAAGUAACUAAGUUUGAUUACAAUUUACUUUAUUGGCUACAUUCAUAAGAUGCUGACAAAGCUGAAAUGACAUUUUUAAAAGUGCCAUUAAAAUAACUGUUAUUCUUGAAUGUCGCUGUUAAAAAUGCACUGCGAGACGAAGCAGACGUGCUAACCCUUACUACACCGUUUAAUCACACCUGAUUCAUUUUGAAUGAGGGGCGAGUCAUAUAAGAUUGUUUUCAACAUUCCAUCCAUCCAUCCAUCCAUUAUCCAAGCUGCUUAUCCUCACGAGGUUCGCGGGCGUGCUGGAGCCGUCUAUGGGCAGUAGGGGGGUACACCCUGAAUUGGUUGCCAGCCAAUCGCAGGGCACACAUAGACAAACAAUCAUUCGCGCACACACAGUCGUGCCUACAGACAAGUUUCCUCGUUCACCCGACCAUGCAUGUCUCUGGAAUGCAUGAGGAAAUCGGAGCACCCGGAGAAAACCCACGCAGCCAUGGGGAGAACAUACAAACUCCUCACAGAGAAGCCAGAGCCCAGAUCCGAAUCCUUGACUUGUACUGUGUGGCAGAUGUGCUAACCAGUCGUCCACUGUGCCACCCAACAAAAAAGACAAACUUUUAAAUUAAUCUAGUGAUCAAUUAUUUAGACUGACUACAAAUACGAAUGAAUUAUUACAACUGUAACUAAACUGUAACAGUGACACUGCACUUGAUGUUGUUUUUCUAUUAUUACUGCUGUAAAUAAUGAAUAUUCAAUUCAAAAGAAAAGUACGAUUGGAAUUCAUUUUCUAACAGGGCAUGUGGACUAUAUGCUACAUUUUUGCACACACAUACAAAUAUACUUAAACUAUAUGAAUGGCAUCUCAUGUCCUACUAAAUACACACACACGCACACACAAAACGUACUGUAAAGUAAAUUGCAUGCAUUAAUCAAAUGAUACUAUGGUCCAAAAUUUUAUCCAAAAUAUAUUUCUAAGCUUGAGUGGAAAUCUUCGAGAAAUUGUACUUACUCACUU